CAGGCUUAACGCAUGCAAGUCGAGGGGCAGCAUUUUAGUUUGCUUGCAAACUAAAGAUGGCGACCGGCGCACGGGUGAGUAACACGUAUCCAACCUGCCGAUAACUCGGGGAUAGCCUUUCGAAAGAAAGAUUAAUAUCCGAUAGUAUAUUAAAACCGCAUGGUUUUACUAUUAAAGAAUUUCGGUUAUCGAUGGGGAUGCGUUCCAUUAGUUUGUUGGCGGGGUAACGGCCCACCAAGACUACGAUGGAUAGGGGUUCUGAGAGGAAGGUCCCCCACAUUGGAACUGAGACACGGUCCAAACUCCUACGGGAGGCAGCAGUGAGGAAUAUUGGUCAAUGGACGAGAGUCUGAACCAGCCAAGUAGCGUGAAGGAUGACUGCCCCAUGGGUUGUAAACUUCUUUUAUAUGGGAAUAAAGUAUUCCACGUGUGGGAUUUUGUAUGUACCAUAUGAAUAAGGAUCGGCUAACUCCGUGCCAGCAGCCGCGGUAAUACGGAGGAUCCGAGCGUUAUCCGGAUUUAUUGGGUUUAAAGGGAGCGUAGGUGGAUUGUUAAGUCAGUUGUGAAAGUUUGCGGCUCAACCGUAAAAUUGCAGUUGAAACUGGCAGUCUUGAGUACAGUAGAGGUGGGCGGAAUUCGUGGUGUAGCGGUGAAAUGCUUAGAUAUCACGAAGAACUCCGAUUGCGAAGGCAGCUCACUAGACUGCAACUGACACUGAUGCUCGAAAGUGUGGGUAUCAAACAGGAUUAGAUACCCUGGUAGUCCACACAGUAAACGACGAAUACUCGCUGUUUGCGAUAUACAGUAAGCGGCCAAGCGAAAGCAUUAAGUAUUCCACCUGGGGAGUACGCCGGCAACGGUGAAACUCAAAGGAAUUGACGGGGGCCCGCACAAGCGGAGGAACAUGUGGUUUAAUUCGAUGAUACGCGAGGAACCUUACCCGGGCUUAAAUUGCAUUUGAAUAAUCUGGAAACAGGUUAGCCGCAAGGCAAAUGUGAAGGUGCUGCAUGGUUGUCGUCAGCUCGUGCCGUGAGGUGUCGGCUUAAGUGCCAUAACGAGCGCAACCCUUAUCUUUAGUUACUAACAGGUCAUGCUGAGGACUCUAGAGAGACUGCCGUCGUAAGAUGUGAGGAAGGUGGGGAUGACGUCAAAUCAGCACGGCCCUUACGUCCGGGGCUACACACGUGUUACAAUGGGGGGUACAGAAGGCAGCUACCUGGCGACAGGAUGCUAAUCCCAAAAACCUCUCUCAGUUCGGAUCGAAGUCUGCAACCCGACUUCGUGAAGCUGGAUUCGCUAGUAAUCGCGCAUCAGCCAUGGCGCGGUGAAUACGUUCCCGGGCCUUGUACACACCGCCCGUCAAGCCAUGAAAGCCGGGGGUACCUGAAGUACGUAACCGCAAGGAGCGUCCUAGGGUAAAACUGGUAAUUG
rnacentral:rRNA from 1 species